CUAGUGAUGAGGAUUUAUGUGGGGUCUGAGAAAAUGGGACAAAAGGCUUUUCUUCUGAGUUAGAGUCGUUUUCAUGCGUUGGAUCCAGGAAAAGGGAGUGUCAUAAUAUUAGUCGGGAGUGGGAGAGAGGUGAGGAUAUUUACUGGUAAGUAAGAUGACAUCGCAUUGCGGUAAGGAUUUUGACACUAUUUUAGGAAGAGUUACUGGGCAUGACCACUGUGUUCCUGAGAGAUUCUGGCCCGUGGAGUUAAGACAGAGCACCUGAAGUACCAAUGACUGAUGGGGGUGUUUUUGCUCAAGUAGCCACGGGGCAAAUGCUGACUUCCUGCCUUUCCAGCCUGUGGCUGCUGACUACCGAACAAAUGAGUGGACGGUGGGAAUGACUAUUCCAGCCCCCUCAUCUGGAUGCAGCAGUUAGGCCGGAAAAAAAUGAAUAGAUUCUUUGUUUCACUUGCCUUUUAUUAACGCGGUGGGACUUGAGACACAUCCGCGUGGUUCUUUCAAUCAUUUCUCUCGAGGAUUUAUCACCAUUGAAGAAGUGAUUUUAAAGUUGAAAGGAAGUACACAUACAAAUAAAGUCUUAUGAUAUUUUGGGCCUUGCUAUUUAAUUGUGUUCCAGUGCAGAGGACUCUUUGGCUUUAGCAGUCGUUCGGCAUCAUGUGAUAAGGGUCCUCCCUUGAGUGCCAUGUUGUGUAAUAAACUGCCUGUGAUGUGCUCUCUUCUGUGACGUGGGGGACAGACAUCAUUCAUAGAGGUUGAUCGGGUUACAAGAGUCAAAUGGAGAGCACAACCUCCACCUUGAAGCUGCUUGUGUAAAGAGACUGACGUGAUCACUGUUUGAAAACCGGACGUCAAGGAACACAAGCAUUACCUCUGAAAAACCUCUCAUGACAGAGCCUCCAACACACAAAACCUUGAGAAAAUAAAUGUAUGAUGAAACCUUA